rnacentral:misc_RNA from 1 species
GUCAGUUCAUAAGUCUCUCCAAGGAUAGGAUUAAAAGGCUUCCAGGUCCUUUGAUAAGCAUAAUACACUGAUAUAGCCCAUGAUGAUGCAUACACCAACCGCAUAUAAGGAUCCUCACAUUCAUCCGCCAGAUUCAACAAGUGGGAGUAUUCCAUUAACUCAGCCAUUUUCUGAAUCAUUGUCAUUGGUUCAAAAAUGAUUACAGGAAGAGUGACCAUUGAUGUGACAUCUGAACCAAUAUACUUGUGCAUCAUCUUCCAGUAACUUUCACGAUCCUCUUGUUUCCAUCUUCCUUUCUGAGCUUCCUCUUCUGCAUCUUCUUUGCCUCCUUCAGGAUUUAUAACUUCAACCCCUUCAUAACCAAGAAACCCAUUAACAGAUCGGUGCAUGGCGUUGCUAAGCUUGGAAAUUCCAGAAGUCAUGGCAGCAAAGAAACCCCCUUUAGUGUCA